GGGUCUCGCUCGUUACCUGACUUAACAGGAUGCUUCACAGUACGAACUGACGACGGCCAUGCACCACCUCUCAGCUAAUCCGGCAAAGUCUUCAGCCUGGCCUUCAUAUUGCUGUCGGUCCCGGUAAGAUUUCCGGCGUUGAAUCCAAUUAAACCGCAAGCUCCACCCGUUGUGGUGCUCCCCCGCCAAUUCCUUUAAGUUUCAGCCUUGCGGCCGUACUUCCCAGGUGGCUCGCUUCACGGCUUCCCUACGGCACCGACAACGGUCGCACCGUGGCCGACACCUAGCGAGUAUCGUUUACGGCUAGGACUACCCGGGUAUCUAAUCCGGUUCGUGCCCCUAGCUUUCGUCCCUUGCCGUCAGGUCCGUUCUGGUGAGACACCUUCGCCACUGGUGGUCCUUCAAGGAUUACAAGAUUU
rnacentral:rRNA from 1 species